rnacentral:miRNA from 1 species
CCUGCACUUUCCGGGUCCAGGCAGCUGGUAUGCUCAGGGAGGCAGCGGUGGUGCAGAGAAAGGGAGCACUGGACUUGGAGUCAGAAGACCCGAG